UGACAACUGAGCAGGGAGACCAAGUCAAUGACUGUGGUUUGGUCUGAGGAGGGCUGAGACACACACAGGCUGAGGGCCCAAACUUACCCUGAAAACUGCGGCCGAGCCCAGUAGCGGCCAUCCCAGUAGCAGGUAUGGGAGGCUCUUGUUAACGACCCUAUCAGUGGUCCGCAAAUCCACCAGAAAGGCGUAGCGUCCUUGUUAAUUUCAGGCCUCUCAAAAGCAGCCCUGCCCAGCCUGUCCUGGCCCUCUCCCCUGAACAUGUCAUCCCUAAAAUCUUGACCUCCUACACUUAAGGAGGGCCCUCCUUCCCUCCAUCAACCCCAUGCCCAAAGCAAUCCCCUAAAUCCACAGCAUCCCGAAUUCCAGUAACCCUUUAGAGGUUCGCGCAUCCCAUUACUGUUUUGGCCCUGUCCUGUCCUGCGUGGGCCAGCCAGUGUGAUGUUGGUUCCUUAGCAGCCCUGGGGAGAAGCAGAGGGCGGGGGGCGUGGGGAGAGUCGAAGGAGCCAUCCUGGAUCCGUAGGCCUCCCGUCCGUCCGCGGGUCAGUGCGGCAUCGCGGACACCAGGGGGCGCCAGAGCGUCGGGUUUCGCGCGGCUGCCCUUCGCAGUCCAGACGGCGCGGCGCGCGGCGGCCGCCAGGGGUCAGCAGAGCUCAGGGCCGCGGGCGCGAAGCGCGGGGCUCAGGGCUGGGCGGCGGCAGCUGCGUUCCCGGCUCCGAGCGCCGUUCUCUGUUAGGAGGGUAAUUUAGAGCAAUUACACCGAUUAUUAUUGCUUUUCUAAUUAGUGCUUUUCCUACAGAAUUAGCCGAGUGUUUAUUAGGAGCUGCUUGUUGCCAGCCGCUUAACUGCUUCGCUGCCGGGCGCGGGCGAGGGGAGGGGCGCCGCGUGGGGCUGCCUGGUUAUGUGGUUUCGCAUAAAAGCACGGAUUAAAUAUUCAUUCUCCUUUGUUACAUAUAGCAUUAAAUUUUUAUCAGCUGUAUGUUUUCCCUGAAGUUUUCCCUGCGUGUUAACGUUCAGGCGGACUGCAGAGGAACUCCUGGGCCUUGGCUCGUGGGGAGGACAGAUCUGUGAUCCUGGAGGCCAGAGGGUUCCCUCUGACAUCUGUGACACCGUUAGACUUUUCCCAAGCGUGUGUCCCCGGAUCCUUCUAAUACCGCUGCGACGGAAGCAGGAUGGAUGGGGAAACUGAGACCCGCGGUGAGGGGUCUUGCAUGACACUCCCAGGGCUGACACAAACCAGAUUGUGGGGUCCGGCACGGAGUCUCUACCACUGUCAUCUUUGGGACCUUCUAAGUCUUCAGGCCCCUCGGGAACCUCCAGCGUCACCCUGGCCAUGCAGUGCCAUGUGGGUGGGCCCAAGCCUCCCCUCUCACAGGAACACAGGCUUCAAACUUUUCCCAGCUCUAUCCAUCUAAGCCCUGCCAGGAGGGGGUCGGAUACCUACGGUGCUCCUGGAUUCUGCCACCUCCCGUGCGGGUGAACCUUCUGGAGCGCUUGACCCAGAGAAGUGGCUACACUUGGGGCGGGAGGCAGAGGGGAGAGAUUUGGGGUUUAUUCAGUGCACUCCCCUUUAUGGCGAGUUAAUUGUUACUUGCUUUGCCUCCAGGAGGCGGGGGACUCUUCUCACUUCACCAGUCCUGGGGAACCCAUGUGAGAAAAACUAGAGGCACAAAUGCGCCCACAGCAAACCAGAGGGUGUGGUUUGUACUGCCCGGCCUUGGUUCACGGUUCAAAAGGCUUCUUGGAAAACCACUGCCCCGGUGCAUUCAAGUGUUUGUUUACAGCUCAUUAACUACUUGAUGGAAAGGUUGGGGUGGGGGAAAUAUUGACAGAAAAUCAAUCAGAAAUGAAGAUUAACGAUCUCCAAAAUAUUCCUGUGGGUCCAUAGGGAAAUGGGACUUGAGUUCUAAAACCAGGGUCUCAUAAACUGAGAUAUUGUUUCUCCAUUUGCCUUUGCGCAGAGAGAGGUCACCAGGAAUCAGGUUGUGACGAGUGGCCACACCUGCAGGGAAUUUGAGAUGGGCCUCCAAGGGAACCUUUUAGCUGUAAGGCCUGUUCCUCCUGGCCUUUGUUCCUGUCAGCAGGCAGAGAAUAGAGAAGAAACUCAGAGAUCCUUGAGACUAAGAAGCUGAACAGAGCCUGGCUGCCUGUUUAAAAUGGAGAGGAAGAAAACAGCAAGAGAGAACCCCAGCAUUUGGAUUGCAGUCUUCACCUCUUGCCUCAUGGGGAUCCACAUGGUGAAUGUAAACACAGUGCUGAGGCUUGUGUGGAGUCUUGAGUCCAUGACGCUGGAGACCCCAGGGUAGAAGGUAGACCACCAGAGCUCUCAUGCAUGGGAGUGGCUCAUAGCCAUCACCUUUGAAAUCUAUUGUCUCGAGACAUUGGCGAGCCUGGGCCUCAAGAGUCUUCUGGAGACACCUUCCUGCACUUAACACUGAUGUCACUGACGGGGGAGCUCUGGAAGAGUGCCAUGAACUUUCAAGGGUGAGCAAACAGAAUUGCCAGUGCUCAGCCUCAGAGAGGAAGGUGGAAUCAAGAAUGGCCAAAUGUUUGAGGAGAGCUGAUGUCAUAACGCAGGAGCAUCCAGAUGACGAGUGAGGGAAUUAGCUCUGAGAAGACAGAGGGAACAGCACAAGUAGAAAGGACUUUAAGCAAAUGGCAUUGCAUGGAGAAGAGCAGAAAUGGAAGAUGCUCAUGAGAACUUGAAAGAGAUGCCAUGAAAAAGCUGAACACAUGGACAAGAAGAAAGGCUGAGACAGAAAGAUGGGCUCUGGUUACUUCUUCUCUACCCCCUAGGAGCCUUCACUCUGGCUGUAUAACAAUCACACUAUUUUUUAAUUUGUUCUCCCAAAAGAUCCACUGUCUGAGAGGAAAUCUACAGCCCCAUGUCCACUGGAGCGUCGCGUGUACAUGAUUCAAUUAACCUUUAAGGUGGCUCGGGAAGUUUGUGCAAUAGGAGAGCCAUGCCUUAAUUGGCAGCCUGACACAGACAAUAAAGUUUGAUCAGAUGUAGAGGGCAUCAGAGACAUCAUUAGCAUCCUCUACUGAAGACUACGUGGGGUGUAAAAGUUGUUUAAUUUCUGCUGGAGAAGUAAGGGAAGAGGAAACCUGGUUCACAUUUCCUGCAUGUUUUGUUUAGUAAAGAUCACCUUUCCCUACUACAAAUAUCAAGCAGGCCCAGUAUUUUGGUGUGUGUACAGCUUCCAACCUAGCUUUUACUGCUCUACAAUCCACCAAAUGAUCAUUUCUCUGUUAUUAAAACUUUGCAUUUCACAAGAGCUGUUUUGGAAAAACAAACAUAAAUAGAGGCAGAUGGGGUGAUUCCUUCUCAAGAGUUUCAAAUGGAAGAAAUGGAUGGGGCAGAGGGUAAGUGAGACAGUGUGCUAGAGAAAGCCUGGAGGAGGGUGGCUGUGUGUGUGUGUGUGUCUGUGUGUGUGUUUUAACUUUCACAAGAGUAGCAGUUGGGGAGAGGGACUCUGGAAACCAUGGAAAUGAGUACAAGGUCAAUGU
rnacentral:lncRNA from 1 species